rnacentral:rRNA from 1 species
CAGGCCUAACACAUGCAAGUCGAGCGGUAAGGCCCUUCGGGGUACACGAGCGGCGAACGGGUGAGUAACACGUGGGUGACCUGCCCUCCACUUCGGGAUAAGCCUGGGAAACCGGGUCUAAUACCGGAUAGGACCUCUGGAUGCAUGUCUGGUGGUGGAAAGUUUUUCGGUGGGGGAUGGGCCCGCGGUCUAUCAGCUUGUUGGUGGGGUGAUGGCCUACCAAGGCGACGACGGAUAGCCGGCCUGAGAGGGUGAUCGGCCACACUGGGACUGAGACACGGCCCAGACUCCUACGGGAGGCAGCAGUGGGGAAUCUUGCGCAAUGGGCGGAAGCCUGACGCAGCAACGCCGCGUGGGGGAUGACGGCCUUCGGGUUGUAAACCUCUUUCGCGAUCGACGAAGCUCCGGUUUCUUGCCNGGGGUGACGG